AUUGAACGCUGGCGGCAUGCUUUACACAUGCAAGUCGAACGGUAACGCGGGGGCAACCCUGGCGACGAGUGGCGAACGGGUGAGUAAUACAUCGGAACAUGUCCUGGAGUGGGGGAUAGCUCGGCGAAAGCCGGAUUAAUACCGCAUACGCUCUGAGGAGGAAAGCGGGGGACCCGUAAGGGCCUCGCGCUGCGGGAGUGGCCGAUGUCGGAUUAGCUAGUUGGUGAGGUAAAGGCUCACCAAGGCGACGAUCCGUAGCUGGUCUGGGAGGAUGAUCAGCCACACUGGGACUGAGACACGGCCCAGACUCCUACGGGAGGCAGCAGUGGGGAAUUUUGGACAAUGGGGGCAACCCUGAUCCAGCCAUGCCGCGUGAGUGAAGAAGGCCUUCGGGUUGUAAAGCUCUUUCGGACGGAACGAAACGGUUACGGUGAAUAUCCGUGACUAAUGACGGUACCGUAAGAAGAAGCACCGGCUAACUACGUGC
rnacentral:rRNA from 1 species